AAGUCAGUCCGGGGGAGCCUCGUCAGGAGGCUGAGAGGCCAUCGGCGCGCAAGCGGCAUGGCGACCCUUCGAACCUGAUCCAGUUGAGACUGGCGGAGGGAGGAAUGAUGACGUCCCC
rnacentral:ncRNA from 2 species